UCUUGUUCUUGGUGCUGGAACUCUGCCAUUUGGAACCCUCUUUAUUGAACUCUUCUUCAUCCUCUCUAGUAUUUGGCUUGGAAGAUUCUACUAUGUUUUCGGUUUUCUGCUUAUAGUCCUCCUCCUGUUGGUUACUGUUUGUGCUGAAGUUUCAGUUGUGCUCACUUAUAUGCACCUUUGUGUGGAGGAUUGGAUGUGGUGGUGGAAAGCAUUCUAUGCAUCAGGUUCUGUUUCUCUAUAUGUGUUCCUCUACUCCAUCAACUACUUGGUUUUUGACCUUCAGAGCUUAAGUGGCCCAGUAUCAGCUAUACUUUACCUUGGCUACUCUUUGAUAAUGGCAGUAGCGAUCAUGCUUUCAACUGGCACGAUUGGCUUCCUCACAUCAUUUUACUUUGUGCAUUAUCUUUUUGCAUCAGUGAAGAUUGACUGAACAGGUGUGCAGAGCCGCAAUUAUUAUUGUUUAGAUGGCUAAAGAAAGACCUGUUGUGCAUUGUGGAACUUUACAUAGUCCUACCAGAAAGAGUAUCUAAAAUUGCAGAUGAGGGACGUUUGUACUUUUCUAUUUUACUGUAAUGUUCUGAGGCUAGAUAAUUUGUUAGUCCAAAAGCUAUUGUUUAGUAUUUUCAUCUUUCAUUGUGUUUUAAUUACAUUUUCCCCAUAUUUCUUGUAUCUUUACAACCUCUACUUUCAAUGGGAAAAUUACCAGAAAACUCAUUGUAGCUUUGAAAUUGAAAAGAAAGAUAGGUUUAAGGUGGUUUUGUUAUGCUGGAAUUUGGUUCUUUCAG
rnacentral:misc_RNA from 1 species